AUUAUACUCUCUUCGUCCUAAUUUUUUUGUUUUAGCUUUGUCUAUAAAUGGAUGUAUCUAAAUACUAAAACUUGACUAGGUACAUACAUAUCUAAACAAAUCUAAGAUAAGAAUUUUGAGACGGAGAAAGUAUGUU
rfam:Hordeum vulgare subsp. vulgare, WGS project CAJW01000000 data, contig: morex_contig_141259